rnacentral:rRNA from 1 species
UGGGGAAUAUUGCACAAUGGGGGAAACCCUGAUGCAGCGACGCCGCGGGAGCGAAGAAGGGUUUCGAAUCGUAAAGCGCUGUCCUAGGAGAAGAUAAUGACGGUAUCAUAGGAGGAAGCGGCGGCUAAAUACGUGCCAGCAGCCGCGGUAAUACGUAUGGGGCGAGCGUUGUCCGGAAUUAUUGGGCGUAAAGGGUACGUAGGCGGUCUAUUAAGUCAGGUGUGAAAGCGUGAGGCUUAACCUCAUUAAGCACUUGAAACUGAUAGACUUGAGUGAAGGAGAGGAAAGUGGAAUUCCUAGUGUAGCGGUGAAAUGCGUAGAUAUUAGGAGGAAUACCGGUGGCGAAGGCGACUUUCUGGACUUUUACUGACGCUCAGGUACGAAAGCGUGGGGAGCAAACAGG